rnacentral:rRNA from 1 species
UACGGAGGGUGCAAGCGUUGUUCGGAAUUACUGGGCGUAAAGCGCGUGUAGGCGGCUGCCUAAGUCUGAUGUGAAAGCCCGAGGCUUACCCUCGGAAGCGCAUUGGAAACUGGGCAGCUCGAGUAUCGGAGAGGAGGGUGGAAUUCCUGGUGUAGCGGUGAAAUGCGUAGAUAUCAGGAAGAACACCGGUGGCGAAGGCGGCCCUCUGGACGAAUACUGACGCUGAGACGCGAAAGCGUGGGGAGCAAACAGGAUUAGAUACCCUGGUAGUCCACGCUGUAAACGAUGGGCACUAGGUGUUCGGGGUAUUAACCCCCCGGGUGCCGUCGCUAACGCAUUAAGUGCCCCGCCUGGGGAUUACGGCCGCAAGGUUAAA